UGCCGGGGGCAGGGUCACUGGGCCAAUGUCCCUCACCAGACCAUCUCUGUCUUAAUGACACACACAGGUCAUGGCUGUUCAAUCCCCAACUCAGAAAGGGACGUGACAAAUCCUGCUGCUAGGCCAGUGUUUGUCCUGACUACCCUGAGGCUUUCUGAGGCCUGGCAUACUGUCCCCAGAAAGGCAGCUCAGCUCAGCUGCCCGAAGAGCCCCGGGCUGCUCUGCGGUCGCCUAUGGCCCUGGGACCACACCCAAGCCCCUGAGGGCUCGCAGCUCAGGGGACACUGCAUCUGGAAUGAAUCCAGACCACAUAAGUAUAAACCUUGAGAAGGCCCAGAAGAACCUGGACAGACACAGACUGUCAGUUUGGUUGUUUGCUGCCUCACACAGUAAAGCUUCUUGUUACCUGAUGUCAGGGCUGGAAGGACCUUGGAGCCUGUUGGGUUCACCUCCCCGUUGUACAGAUGGAGAAACGGAGGCCCAAGGAGCCAGAUCUGACCACUUGACAAGUCGGGAGCACGGUCCGAACCAGUCAGUCCCUACCCCCAUCUCUAAAAAGGAGCAUGUUCGGAGUUAACUGUAAGACAGUUGAUAUUUUUACACUCCCGUCGCGGACAGAGCUGGUGGCAUCACAGGGACACGGGCACAGAUGGAGAUGCCCCUCUUCAGUGGCUGGGAAAGUCUUGGAUUCUGCCCCCUGUGUCGUGAGAACAGCUGUAAACUACCAGCGCCUGGCUGGCUGGCUCCAGGCCCCCCGGGGAGACCAUCCUGCCCCCCGGCCUGGCCCCGGAGCCUGGCUUUGCUCCCGAGGGCUCCCCACUCCCCGGAGAUGCCACGCUUGCCAACACUCGCAGCUCCGCAGGGGAGCCCCAGAGGCCGGAGACACACCCUUCCACCAGCUUCGGUGAAGAGGAAAUGGAGGAUGCCACUCACCCUCCCCCGGUGUCUCACAGACCCUGCAGAGCUGGGAAGAAGGGAGGCCCACGGCCAAGCUGGAAGUGAGGAGGAUACAGGGAAUGAGGAUUAGGCUCGAGCCCAGAGCCAAAGUCCAUGCACAAAGCCCAGAGCCUGAGGUCCAAGCCACUCAGGUGAAAUCGCCAGAGCCGGCGGGCUGCCUGGCCUCUGCCUCAGCACCCCCAUCUGUCCACCGGGAGGGGAGUGGGGAAUCCAGCAAGGGCAGCCUGAGAACUGCUGGGGCCUGGAUGACCUCGAUGCAUUAGCCUCAUUCAUUCAUUCAGGUGCUGACUAAGUGCCUACUGUGUGCCAGGCACCAGGAAUUCAGCAGUCAGUUGAGAACUGCUGGGACCCACUGGUUUUUGCUGAGUGGCAAAAAACCAUAUGGAUAAAUCCAUACAUACAAAGUCCAAGGUGACCGUGUGUAGGAGUGUGUGAGUGCAUCCCGUUCCACAGUGGGCUCUCGGCUUAGAGGAAAGAAACCUGUGGGCAUUCAGUGAUCAGAGCCAGUCCUCCUGGCCCCAGGGAUGUCCCUCUCCAACUGCAGUGGCAUUUUAGCCUACCAGGGCCCCUGCCUGGCAGCUGGCAUGUGUGCUAGGGCUGGGGGAGGAUCAGCUCCUGCCCCAACUCAGUGCUGAGCUGAACUGUGGAGUCACAUAGAAACAUCUGGGCUGGGAUCCCUGGGUGGUGCAGCGGUUUAGCGCCUGCCUUUGGCCCAGGGCACAAUCCUGGAGACCCGGGAUUGAAUCCCACGUCGGGCUCCUGGUGCAUGGAGCCUGCUUCUCCCUCUGCCUAUGUCUCUGCCUCUCUCUCUCUCUGUGACUACCAUAAAUAAAUAAAAAUAAAAAUAAAGAAACACCUGGGCUUGAGUAGAGGUCUGAG